rnacentral:rRNA from 1 species
UACGGAGGGUGCAAGCGUUAUCCGGAUUUAUUGGGUUUAAAGGGUACGUAGGCGGUGAGGUAAGUCAGUGGUGAAAUCCGGCAGCUUAACUGUUCGGACUGCCAUUGAUACUGCUUCACUCGAGUGCAGUCGAGGUAGGUGGAAUUCCAUGUGUAGCGGUGAAAUGCUUAGAGAUAUGGAGGAACGCCGAUAACGAAGGUAACUUACUAGGCUGUAACUGACGCUGAGGUACGAAAGCGUGGGGAGCAAACGGG